rnacentral:rRNA from 1 species
GACGAACGCUGGCGGCGUGCUUAACACAUGCAAGUCGAACGGGAUUUAGUAAACAGAAGCCUCGGUGGAAGAUUACUAAUGAGAGUGGCGAACGGGUGAGUAACGCGUGAGCAACCUGCCUAUGACAGUGGGAUAGCCUCGGGAAACCGGGAUUAAUACCGCAUAAAAUCGUAGAAACACAUGUUUUAACGGUCAAAGAUUUAUCGGUCAUAGAUGGGCUCGCGUCUGAUUAGCUAGUUGGUGAGAUAACAGCCCACCAAGGCGACGAUCAGUAGCCGGUCUGAGAGGAUGAACGGCCACAUUGGAACUGAGACACGGUCCAAACUCCUACGGGAGGCAGCAGUGGGGAAUAUUGCACAAUGGGGGAAACCCUGAUGCAGCGACGCCGCGUGAAAGAAGAAGGUAUUCGUAUCGUAAAGUUCUGUCCUAUGGGAAGAUAAUGACAGUACCAGAGAAGAAAGCUCCGGCUAAAUACGUG